ACAAAAUUACACUGUAUUAACGAAUAAAAUAAAAAUUAGUGAUCAUAACAGAUACUAUACAAAUACACGAUUAAGUAAGUUUCGUACAUUUUACUGGACGAAAACCUGGAACACUCGCUUUACUAGACUGGAAUUGAUAAGUUUAUCGUAUCGUGUACCGUACCUAAGAAGUUUAUAAUAAUAAUUUGAAACGACGACGGGUGUAACUGACGGCCGAUAAUAACAACUGAUUAAAAAAAAAGUCUACUCAGUCCACACGUCAAAACUCAACACGAGAUAGGUAUACAAAACGAUAUUUUGUUUAUUAUCCAAACCUACGUAUUAUCAUUAUUAUAGGUAGUCUUGUUAUAAAUAAAAGCGAAACAACUUUUUUUUAUUUAAAAAACAAGCGUUCCAGCUGCACAAUCACAAGUUUUACAACUGUUUAACACCGUAGUAAACGGCUACAUAUACGAUAUGUCUAAACGUUUUUUU